UGCGUAGGCGGAAUAUUAAGUCAGUGGUGAAAUCCUGCGGCUCAACCGUAGAACUGCCAUUGAUACUGAUAUUCUUGAAUGUAGUUGAGGUAGGGGAAUGUGUAAUGUAGCGGUGAAAUGCUUAGAUAUUACACAGAACACCGAUUGCGAAGGCAGCUUACUAAACUAUGAUUGACGCUGAGGCACGAAAGCGUGGGGAGCGAACAGGAUUAGAUACCCUGGUAGUCC
rnacentral:rRNA from 1 species